rnacentral:rRNA from 1 species
UACGGAGGAUCCAAGCGUUAUCCGGAUUUAUUGGGUUUAAAGGGUGCGUAGGCGGCUUAUUAAGUCAGGGGUGAAAGACGGUGGCUCAACCAUCGCAGUGCCUUUGAUACUGAUGAGCUUGAAUACACUAGAGGUAGGCGGAAUGUGACAAGUAGCGGUGAAAUGCAUAGAUAUGUCACAGAACACCGAUUGCGAAGGCAGCUUACUAUGGUGUGAUUGACGCUGAGGCACGAAAGCGUGGGGAGCAAACAGG